UACGAAGGGGGCUAGCGUUGCUCGGAAUUACUGGGCGUAAAGCGCACGUAGGCGGUUUCUUAAGUCGGGGGUGAAAUCCUGGAGCUCAACUCCAGAACGUGCCCUUCGAUACUGGGAAACUUGAGUCCGGGAGAGGUGAGUGGAACUGCGAGUGUAGAGGUGAAAUUCGUAGAUAUUCGCAAGAACACCAGUGGCGAAGGCGGCUCACUGGCCCGGUACUGACGCUGAGGUGCGAAAGCGUGGGGAGCAAACAGG
rnacentral:rRNA from 1 species